rnacentral:rRNA from 1 species
UACGGAGGAUGCGAGCGUUAUCCGGAUUUAUUGGGUUUAAAGGGUGCGUAGGCGGACUGUCAAGUCAGCGGUAAAAUUGAGAGGCUCAACCUCUUCCCGCCGUUGGAACUGGUGGUCUUGAGUGUAUGAGAAGUACGCGGAAUGCGUGGUGUAGCGGUGAAAUGCAUAGAUAUCACGCAGAACUCCGAUUGCGAAGGCAGCGUACCGGCAUCCAACUGACGCUGAGGCACGAAAGCGUGGGGAUCAAACAGG